CACCGCGGUUAUACGAGUGGGCCCCAGUUGAUACACACGGCGUAAAGAGUGGUUAAGGAUUAUGCCAAACUAAAGCCGAAGACCCCCUAAGCCGUCAUACGCACCUAGGGGUACGAAGCCCUAUCACGAAAGUAGCUUUAUUCAAGCCCACCUGACCCCACGACAGCUGAGAUA
rnacentral:rRNA from 1 species